GAGUUUGAUCUUGGCUCAGAUUGAACGCUGGCGGCAUGCCUUACACAUGCAAGUCGAACGGCAGCACGGGAGCUUGCUCCUGGUGGCGAGUGGCGAACGGGUGAGCAAUGCAUCGGAACGUAUCCUGGAGUGGGGGAUAACGUAGCGAAAGUUACGCUAAUACCGCAUAUUCUGUGAGCAGGAAAGCGGGGGACCUUCGGGCCUCGCGCUCUUGGAGCGGCCGAUGUCGGAUUAGCUAGUUGGUGAGGUAAAGGCUCACCAAGGCGACGAUCCGUAGCAGGUCUGAGAGGAUGAUCUGCCACACUGGAACUGAGACACGGUCCAGACUCCUACGGGAGGCAACAGUGGGAAUUUUGGACAAUGGGGGCAACCCUGAUCCAGCCAUGCCGCGUGAGUGAAGAAGGCCUCGGUUCG
rnacentral:rRNA from 1 species